rnacentral:piRNA from 1 species
UGGGAGGAAGGUCCAGGUAGUAGGGCUGC